CAAUCAAGUGCCUUAAGGGUGUUCGGUGGAU
rnacentral:rRNA from 1 species